rnacentral:rRNA from 1 species
AUUGAACGCUGGCGGCAUGCCUUACACAUGCAAGUCGAACGGCAGCACGGGAGCAAUCCUGGUGGCGAGUGGCGAACGGGUGAGUAAUAUAUCGGAACGUGCCCAGUCGUGGGGAUAACGUAGCGAAAGCUACGCUAAUACCGCAUACGAUCUAUGGAUGAAAGCGGGGGAUCGCAAGACCUCGCGCGAUUGGAGCGGCCGAUAUCAGAUUAGGUAGUUGGUGAGGUAAAGGCUCACCAAGCCGACGAUCUGUAGCUGGUCUGAGAGGACGACCAGCCACACUGGGACUGAGACACGGCCCAGACUCCUACGGGAGGCAGCAGUGGGGAAUUUUGGACAAUGGGCGCAAGCCUGAUCCAGCAAUGCCGCGUGCAGGAUGAAGGCCUGGUUGUAAACUGCUUUGUUACGGAACGAAACGGUA